AUUGAACGCUGGCGGCAGGCUUAACACAUGCAAGUCGAGUGGAGAUGAGGUGCUUGCACCUUAUCUCAGCGGCGGACGGGUGAGUAAUGCUUAGGAAUCUGCCUAUUAGUGGGGGACAACAUUCCGAAAGGAAUGCUAAUACCGCAUACGUCCUACGGGAGAAAGCAGGGGAUCUUCGGACCUUGCGCUAAUAGAUGAGCCUAAGUCGGAUUAGCUAGUUGGUGGGGUAAAGGCCUACCAAGGCGACGAUCUGUAGCGGGUCUGAGAGGAUGAUCCGCCACACUGGGACUGAGACACGGCCCAGACUCCUACGGGAGGCAGCAGUGGGGAAUAUUGGACAAUGGGGGGAACCCUGAUCCAGCCAUGCCGCGUGUGUGAAGAAGGCCUUAUGGUUGUAAAGCACUUUAAGCGAGGAGGAGGUUACUGAGACUAAUACUCUUGGAUAGUGGACGUUACUCGCAGAAUAAGCACCGGCUAACUCUGUGCCAGCCGCCGCCGUAAAAC
rnacentral:rRNA from 1 species